rnacentral:tRNA from 1 species
GGAGAGGUGUCCGAGUGGUUUAAGGAGCACGCCUGGAAAGCGUGUAUACGAGUUAUCGUAUCAUGGGUUCAAAUCCCAUUCUCUCCGCCA